rnacentral:rRNA from 1 species
UGGGGAAUCUUGGACAAUGGGCGCAAGCCUGAUCCAGCCAUGCCGCGUGAGUGAAGAAGGCCUUCGGGUUGUAAAGCUCUUUUACCAGGGACGAUAAUGACGGUACCUGGAGAAUAAGCCCCGGCAAACUUCGUGCCAGCAGCCGCGGUAAUACGAAGGGGGCUAGCGUUGUUCGGAAUUACUGGGCGUAAAGCGCACGUAGGCGGAUUGUUAAGUCAGAGGUGAAAUCCCGGAGCUCAACUUCGGAACUGCCUUUGAUACUGGCAAUCUAGAGUCCGGAAGAGGUUAGUGGAAUUCCCAGUGUAGAGGUGAAAUUCGUAGAUAUUGGGAAGAACACCAGUGGCGAAAGGCGGCUAACUGGUCCGGUACUGACGCUGAGGUGCGAAAGCGUGGGGAGCAAACAGGAUUAGAUACCCCCGUAGUCCCUGAGCGGGCUGGCAAGGCGCAU